rnacentral:lncRNA from 1 species
AUCUAUCAAUUAGACAUUCAAGGGGGAGUGUUAUAAAUGUAUUUACAAUAUAGUGAAUGUCUAUCAAGAAUAUAGAUAAGAUCUAUCAAGAUCUAGUUGAUAUCUAUCAGGAUUUGAAGUAUCUGUCUUUUAGUCAGAAACUAGGAGUAUUUUUCCCUAUAAAUAGAGGGGUUUUGUACAUUGUAUUCUCAAUCUUAUGAUCUCUAACCACAUAAUGGAAAUGUGUCAGACUGCAAAUCCUGGAAUGACGAUUCGACCCCAUCCUUGGCCUCGAGGAGUGGUGAGCAG